UACGUAGGGUGCGAGCGUUAAUCGGAAUUACUGGGCGUAAAGCGUGCGCAGGCGGUUCGUUGUGUCGGCGGUGAAAGCCCCGGGCUCAACCUGGGAAUGGCCGUUGAAACUGGCGAACUGGAGUGUGGCAGAGGGGGGUGGAAUUCCGCGUGUAGCAGUGAAAUGCGUAGAUAUGCGGAGGAACACCAAUGGCGAAGGCAGCUCGCUGGGACGUGACUGACGCUGAGACGCGAAAGCGUGGGGAGCAAACAGG
rnacentral:rRNA from 1 species